UUUCCAAUUUAAUUUAUUGUAAAGAUUUUUUAAUGGAAUUGAUACACUGUGGCAGUGAAAACAGGAUUUUCUGUAUAGCCAGCAUUGCGAAAACACAUCCUGUUGGUGAACACAUACAUCAAUUAAAAUGUCACCCAUGGCUCACACCUGUAAUCUGAGCACUUUGGGAGGCCGAGGUGGGCAGAUCACGAGGUCAGGAGAUCAAGGCCAUCCUGACCAACAUGGUGAAACCCCGUGUCUACAAAAAAUGCAAAAUAAAUUAGCUGGGUGUGGUGAUGCAUGCCUGUAAUCCUAGCUACUUGGGAGGCUAAGGCAGGAGAAUCGAUUGAACCCAAGAGGCAGAGGUUGCAGUGAGCCAAGAUUGCGCCACUGCACUCCAGCCAGGCGACAGAGCAAGACACUGUCUCAAAAAAAAAAAAAAAAAAAAAAGCUACCUAAUGUUAAAUGACGAGUUUAAUGGGUGCAACACACCAACGUGGCGCAUGUAUACAUAUGUAAGAAGCCUGCAUGUUGUGCACAUGUACCCUAAAACUUAAAGUAUAAUAAAUAAAUUUUUUAAAAAAGCCACCCAAAGAUAGGUAAACAUUACUGCAUGGGCACUUAUAUUUCACCUGCAGUUUUGAAUUUUGGUCAAUAAUAAUUAGAAAAGUU
rnacentral:lncRNA from 1 species